AGGAGCGGGAGUGGCGGGCUCAAGUGGGCAUUGUUAACGGUCGCCCGCCCGCCGGUCAGCCUGCCUACGGCCACGUUCUGCCGGCGUCUGCGCUCGGCACCCAUCAGAAGCAAGAAGACCAUGGUUCUGUCUGCUUGAUGAGGCUUCGUAAGCAGGAUGUGGUGAGGUGUCCCUGACAGAGUGAAGUCCCAGAGGAGCAGCCAGGCAGCCACUGGCUGGGAACCCUCAGCCUUCCCUGGCCUCCAGGGGGUUUCCUGCUUCCUAAGAGCAGCAAUGGAAAAGCCUGCAACUAGGAAAAAGAAGAGUCAGGCUCCAAAGGAGGAGGCAGGUGCACAAAAGGCCACUGUCAAAGGAGAGAAAACAUCAAAGGGGAAAAAGCCAACCAAGAAGCCAAGAAAGCCUCGUAAACCCCGAAAAGAGCGUGUCCUGAGUCCUGAAGACGAAGCUCAUAUCUUUGAUGCCUUCGAUGCCUCGUUUAAAGAUGACUUUGAGGGUGUCCCUGUGUUUGUUCCUUUUCAGAGGAAGAAGCCCUAUGAGUGCGGUGAGUGCGGACGGAUCUUUAAACACAAGACAGAUCACAUUCGCCACCAGAGAGUUCACACCGGAGAGAAGCCCUUUAAGUGUGACCAGUGUGGAAAGACCUUCAGGCACAGCUCAGAUGUCACCAAACAUCAAAGAAUUCACACCGGCGAGAAGCCCUUUAAAUGUGGGGAGUGUGGAAAAGCCUUCAACUGUGGCUCCAACCUUCUGAAACACCAGAAAACGCACACUGGAGAGAAGCCUUAUGGCUGUGAGGAGUGUGGAAAAUCCUUCGCCUACAGCUCCUGCCUCAUCCGGCAUCGGAAGCGUCAUCCGAGGAAGAAGCACUGAGCAGGGCAGUCUACAAUUGUGGCUCCUUGACAGACACCUGAUGAUGGUCCAGAGUUGUUCUGCAGUGUGCUCACCUGGCCGCCAGUCUCUGUCAUUGAAAGGAAAAUCUACAUGAGACAGGAGAGCCCACAGAGGCUUUCUGCCCUUCAAAUCUACACCUAGUGGUAACACGGUGCUCCCCGGAGCUUCCUGAAGCUCCAGCCAUUUUCAGACUACUUUAUGCUACUCAGGGCCAUCUCUGGAACAGCUUUGGGUCGCUGAGAACUUUAGAGCUAAAGGGACACCCCUGUUGGCAAGGGCCCCUGCCUUUGCUGCCUAUCUGCACCAACCAUGUGCUUUUGUCUCUUCUUUUGAAGGCGUCUGGCUCUGCAUGCCCAGUCCCAUGCAGCCUGCUAGGGCCAAGGAACCCUGAGGUGGAUGCCAUGCAGCACUCUGACCAACUCUGAGGACUAGUCCCCUUGGACAGCACCAAGUCCUGCUCAUCUCUGUGCAACCGACUUCGGUGACCAUUUCUCUUUUCUGGCUGAAACAACAGUCUUUGAGCUUAACCCCUGGGCCUAGAACUGGGUUGCACUGCAUUCCCUUGUCCCAACCACAUCUUAGACAAGUAGCCUGGAGCCAUCCAGAGUCUCAGCAGACCCUUGCACCCUGGCAUAGUGGCAGAUUUCUUAGACUAGGUCUUGUAGCUUCAGAGUGCCAUCAGCAGCUUCUGUCCACUGUACCUUGAAAAACAACCGCAGCCCCACCCCACAGCAUCUGUCCAUUCAGGUCAAUUCCACUUCCUGCUGCUUAGCAGGGCAAGACCACGUGACUGUGGCUAUCAUCUGUCCCGAGUGCUCUAUGAGGUCUGUAUUCUAAAGACAGCAAGUGACUGCUGACCAGGAGGGGAGAAGUGUCACUUUUCGUGGAUGCAUAAAGAGCCCUUAACUUAAGAGAAACAGAGCUGGUCCCAGCUCAGCCACUUCCUAACUGAGCCACAUGGACCCUUUCUGGAUUAAAUUACAAGCUGCUAGAGCAGAUUUCUCCAGUAAGGAGCUCAGAGAACUCAAGAGAGUCAGUCUACCUCUACCACAGAGCACAGCAGAGACCCACUGGGUCAUGCUCGAGGGAGGCUGUUAUCACAGAAUCCAUUGACAACAGGCAAGCUGUAGGUGGAUGAGCUCAAGGAGGCCUUUGGUCACCAUGUGGUGACCACAGGUCACUUUUGCUUGUUCCCACCCUGAAAUUCAAGAUGGCCACAUCACAGCAUUCAUGAGCAACCAUUAGUUCUGGCUCACUGAAGCCUAUGAAGAGUUCCCAGCACCAGCGUCUACUUCAGUGAAAGACAUUGUGAACAGCCACCCAGGAACACAGGAAAUCUUCAGAACCUUCCAGAUGUCUUAAGAUGUGUCCUGGAACAACUAAGAACACUCCAGCAAAGUCCUGGGAUUCUAAUUACAGAAACAUAGUCAACUGCAGCCAGAGAUGUCUUAGAAGUCCAAGGCAGUCCAUUUAUUAGCACCUCAGCUGCCAUGCCCAGUGAGCCUUGUCCUGCAGAGAGAGUUCUGACAGCACAGCUGCUGCUGAGCCUCACUUAGAACAGAGAGCACUGCCAGGGCCUGACAGCAAGCAAGUGAACGAGAGCUCUGAGCUGUGGUAAUAUCUGUUCCUUCAGCCUUCUCCCAGCCAAGAGAGAAGGCGGAAGCCACCUCAAGGAGAGUCAGAAGUAGCUCUGGGCUAGGUCUAGGACUCUUCUAUUUGAGGAGACCAGUGGGUUAGACUUGACUGGCUGCCUCCCUCUGUUUCUGGAAGUCUGUAGCUCCAGAUCACAUGUGGGCUCCUUUCCUCCUGACCUUGGAUCUAUCAUCAAGACAGUGAUUUCCUGUGCCAAUGAAUUGGGACAUUAAGAUGCCCUGAAAAGGAAGGCAGAACUGGGGCCCUAGGAAGAAAGGCUCUGUACCCUGACUCAAGGGACAGAUGCUCUAUGGCUUCUAGGGAAGACUCAGGGGAAUGGGGUCACCUCUGGUGUGAACCCCAGGUUCAGUGCAGACAAGGAGACUGGUCUAUGAGCCACAUUUACCUUUAGGCCAAGCGAUGGUGCCCACCUUCAGCCUGCCCUUUUCAGUGCCUAGUGCCUGUGGAGUUGGGUGUUUGCUUUCUCCUGGUUCCUUCUCAAGGAAGACAAGUGGAUUGACCACUUGACUCAAAUCCUGUAGGACUAAUGCUUUCAUGUGGCAGCUCCCAGAAAACAUCUAGGUGAGGCUGUUUCCCCGCAUCCGGGCCUGCAGUCAUUGGCUUUGGACCUGUAGAGGGUUCCUGGCACCUACAUACUGGCAGCACCCCGUUGGCCUGUCCACAUCUCACCUCGGCCACAUUAUGAUCGGGUGGAAUCUCCUCUUUCUUGUAUCUGGCUGGUGCAGACACCCAUGUGUCCUAAUGCCUCACUGCAGUGAGUGGUGCGUUCCCCUUAAACAGCUGCAGCUAUGGCUGUUGUGUUGUAGCAGACGCUGUCCCCAGUCUGGUGUUGCUGUUUGACAUUUGUUAAUGCUCACAUCCAUGUAAUACCCUUGGUGCUGUGUCAGUGUUGUGCACAUUGGACUAAACAUUCUGCUUUGUUGUGCACUUGGUGGCUUCCUUCGUAUAUGACUCCUCUGCUCCAUGGACAGUGGCACUGAUGCUCCUGCACGCUGCCUUCCAGUUGCUGCCAUGGUUCUGUGAGCAGGUGCUGUUGGUGCUGCUCCUGGACAUCUAUUUUCUCAUAAAAGUAAAUGUGUUUCC